GGACGGGUGGUGAAAUUGGCAGACACGCAGCGUUCAGGGCGCUGUGAGCUUAAAAACUCGUGCGGGUUCAACUCCCGCUCCGUCCA
rnacentral:tRNA from 1 species